rnacentral:rRNA from 1 species
CCUACGGGAGGCAGCAGUGGGGAAUAUUGCACAAUGGGCGCAACCCUGAUGCAGCGACGCCGCGUGAGUGAUGAAGGAGUUCGGGAUGUAAAGCUCUAUCAGCAGGGAAGAAAAUGACGGUACCUGACUAAGAAGCCCCGGCGAACUACGUGCAAGCAGCCGCGGUAAUACGUAGGGGGCAAGCGUUAUCCGGAUUUACUGGGGGUAAAGGGAGCGUAGACGGCGGUGCAAGCCAGAUGUGAAAGCCCGGGGCUCAACCCCGGGACUGCAUUUGAAACUGUGCUGCUAGAGUGUCGUAGAGGCAGGCGGAAUUCCUGGUGUAGCGGUGAAAUGCGUAGAUAUUAGGAGGAACACCAGUGGCGAAGGCGGCCUGCUGGAUGAUGACUGACGUUGAGGCUCGAAAGCGUGGGGAGCAAACAGGAUUAGAUACCCUGGUAGUC